rnacentral:rRNA from 1 species
GACGAACGCUGGCGGCGUGCUUAACACAUGCAAGUCGAACGGAAAGGCCUGCUUUCCCUUGUGGAUUGCGGGUACUCGAGUGGCGAACGGGUGAGUAACACGUGAGUGAUCUGCCCCCAACUUGGGUAUAAGCCUGGGAAACUGGGUCUAAUUCCCGAUAGGACUGCAGGGUGGUGCCUGUGGUGGAAAACGAUUUUCUAGUGGUUGGGGAUGAGCUCGCGGCCUAUCAGCUUGUUGGGGGGGUAAUGGCCUACCAAGGCGGCGACGGGUAGCCGGCCUGGGAGGGGGGCCGGCAAAUUUGGGCUGGAGAUACGGCCCAGAUCCCACGGGAGGGCGGAGUGGGGAAAAAUGGACCAUGGGGGGGAAACUUGAUGAGGCGCGCCGGGGGGGGGAUGACGGCCUUCGGGUUGUAAACUCCUUUCGACCGCGAGGAAGCCACCUGGUUGGAAGGGUGGUGACGGUAGUGGUAGAAGAAGCACCGGCUAACUACGUG